GGCUUUUACCUGGUCUGCGAGAAAUCAAACUUUGGGCACAAGUCAUGAAGCCGACAAGCCCGGGAGACACAGUGUCAGAAUUACAAGGUGAGAUCAGCCGCCCGGCCAAGCUAUUUUCUCGCUAGCAGGAACCCUACAAGGCCUGUUAGAGAAGAAGGGGUAGAAUCCCGAGAAUGUUUUCCCCACAGUGCUGAUAAGGAGAGACCACUACCCCAUCUACUGCUACAACUCUGGAGACAUAGCUCUGCCAUCUCUCCUAUAGAACACAAGGACCAAUCUGCAGAGAAAGAGCAUCCAAACCUGAUCCAGUGGACACUGGGGAAAAACUCACCACAGCUGAGUGUGGAAAAACAAGGCCAACACACACAUCUCUGCACAGAUACAUCUCCCAUAAAGAAACUAAAGUGUUAAUUUACAGGGCGCUGUUGCAGACCCACUUCAACUGGAAGCUACGAACGUGGACAAGGAGCCUCUCUACCACCGAAGGAGAGACAGGAAUGUGCUCUUGUCCUGGCAUUGCAUCUACAGGAGGGGCAGGAAACUCUUUGAAGGUCCCGCAUCUGGGGCUCGAUCUCGUGCAGAGGAGCAUUUCCGAAGACACUGGCCGCUCCCACAAUGGCUCCGAAGACCCCAGCGACCAGCGGGUUCAUGAGUUUGUUGGGGUUGUCCCCUCGGUACCAGCUGCGCAGGGAUGUCAGGACAAAGAAACGAGUUGCCUG
rnacentral:lncRNA from 1 species